GAUGAACGCUGGCGGCGUGCCUAAUACAUGCAAGUCGAGCGAACAGACGAGGAGCUUGCUCCUCUGACGUUAGCGGCGGACGGGUGAGUAACACGUGGAUAACCUACCUAUAAGACUGGGAUAACUUCGGGAAACCGGAGCUAAUACCGGAUAAUAUAUUGAACCGCAUGGUUCAAUAGUGAAAGACGGUUUUGCUGUCACUUAUAGAUGGAUCCGCGCCGCAUUAGCUAGUUGGUAAGGUAACGGCUUACCAAGGCAGCGAUGCGUAGCCGACCUGAGAGGGUGAUCGGCCACACUGGAACUGAGACACGGUCCAGACUCCUACGGGAGGCAGCAGUAGGGAAUCUUCCGCAAUGGGCGAAAGCCUGACGGAGCAACGCCGCGUGAGUGAUGAAGGUCUUCGGAUCGUAAAACGCUGUUAUUAGGGAAGAACAAAUGUGUAAGUAACUAUGCACGUCUUGACGGGACCUAAUCAGAAAGCCACGGCUAACUACGG
rnacentral:rRNA from 1 species